rnacentral:rRNA from 1 species
AGCCAUGCAUGUCUCAGUGCAUGCCGAGCUAAGGUGAAACCGCGAAUGGCUCAUUAAAUCAGUUAUGGUUUCUUAGAUCGUACCCACAUUUACUUGGAUAACUGUGGUAAUUCUAGAGCUAAUACAUGCAAACCAGAGUUCCAACCAGAGAUGGGAGGAACGCUUUUAUUAGAUCAAAACCAAUCGGUGGCGUUUGUUAAUACAUUCGUCCACCGUUUACUUUGAUGACUCUGAAUAACUUUGAGCUGAUCGCACGGUCCUAGCACCGGCGACAAGUCUUUCAAAUGUCUGCCUUAUCAACUGUCGAUGGUAGGUUCUGCGCCUACCAUGGUUGUAACGGGUAACGGGGAAUCAGGGUUCGAUUCCGGAGAGGGAGCCUGAGAAACGGCUACCACAUCCAAGGAAGGCAGCAGGCGCGCAAAUUACCCACUCCCGGCACGGGGAGGUAGUGACGAAAAAUAACGAUACGGGACUCAUCCGAGGCCCCGUAAUCGGAAUGAGUACACUUUAAAUCCUUUAACAAGGAUCCAUUGGAGGGCAAGUCUGGUGCCAGCAGCCGCGGUAAUUCCAGCUCCAAUAGCGUAUAUUAAAGUUGUUGCGGUUAAAAAGCUCGUAGUUGAAUCUGUGUUUCACACUGUCGGUUCACCGCUCGCGGUGUUUACUGGCAUGAUGUGGGACGUCCUACCGGUGGGCUUAGCCCUUCGGGGCGGUCCAACUAAUAUCCCAUCGCG